rnacentral:rRNA from 1 species
UGGGGGAUAUUGCACAAUGGGCGCAAGCCUGAUGCAGCGACGCCGCGUGGAGGAAGAAGGUUUUCGGAUUGUAAACUCCUGUCUUCAGGGACGAUAAUGACGGUACCUGAGGAGGAAGCCACGGCUAACUACGUGCCAGCAGCCGCGGUAAUACGUAGGUGGCAAGCGUUGUCCGGAAUUACUGGGUGUAAAGGGAGCGUAGGCGGGACUGCAAGUCCAGUGUGAAAUCUAUCGGCUCAACUGAUAGCUGCGCUGGAAACUGUGGUUCUUGAGUGAAGUAGAGGCAGGCGGAAUUCCUAGUGUAGCGGUGGAAUGCGUAGAUAUUAGGAGGAACACCAGUGGCGAAGGCGGCCUGCUGGACUUUUACUGACGCUGAGGCUCGAAAGUGUGGGUAGCAAACAGGAUUAGAUACC